rnacentral:rRNA from 1 species
GAUGAACGCUAGCUACAGGCUUAACACAUGCAAGUCGAGGGGUAACGAGAGGAAAGCUUGCUUUCCUUGUCGACGACCGGCGCACGGGUGAGUAACGCGUAUCCAACCUGCCCCCAACUAAGGAAUAACCUUGCGAAAGUAAGACUAAUACCUUAUAAUUUCCUCAGAUGUCAUCUGACGAGGAAUAAAGAUUUAUCGGUUGUGGAUGGGGAUGCGUCUGAUUAGCUUGUUGGCGGGGUAACGGCCCACCAAGGCAACGAUCAGUAGGGGUUCUGAGAGGAAGGUCCCCCAGAUUGGAACUGAGACACGGUCCAAACUCCUACGGGAGGCAGCAGUGAGGAAUAUUGGUCAAUGGGCGGAAGCCUGAACCAGCCAAGCAGCGUGCAGGAUGACGGCCCUAUGGGUUGUAAACUGCUUUUAUACAGGAAUAAAGUAGCCACGUGUGGUUAUUUGUAGGUACUGUAUGAAUAAGGACCGGCUAAUUCCGUGCCAGCAGCCGCGGUAA